UUCAGCACAGCACAACUAUACUAAAAUUAGAACAAUCCAGAGAAAAUUAGCGAUGCCUCUUCACAAGGAUGACAUGUAAAUUUGCUUAAAGCGUUUCAUAGUUUA
rnacentral:snRNA from 1 species